rnacentral:lncRNA from 1 species
UGCGGUCGGUAGGGUUGAACGCCGGUUAGGCGAGUCCGAUGGUGAGUCGGCAUGAGAGGGACCGAUCGGUAUAUCCCAACAGAUAUCAACUAAACAACGUCCAGCAGUAUCAUCUCCUCGCUGUGGACAAUAUUUGCACCAGAACUCACCUUUGUAUCUUUCAUCCUUCAUCAUUUGAGAGACGUUUCCUUCAUCCGGCUUGUAUCAAAUGUUGUAAUGCCCC